GCCUGCAUGAAGUUGGAGUUGCUAGUAAUCGCGGAUCAGAAUGCCGCGGUGAAUGCGUUCCCGGGUCUUGUACACACCGCCCGUCACACCAUGGAAGUUGGGGGCGCCCGAAGUUGGUCAAGAAGAGAUUACCUAAGGCGAAACCAAUGACUGGGGUGAAGUCGUAACAAGGUAGC
rnacentral:rRNA from 1 species